rnacentral:rRNA from 1 species
CAGCCGCCGCGGUAAUACGUAGGUGGCGAGCGUUGUCCGGAAUUAUUGGGCGUAAAGCGCGCGCAGGUGGUUUAAUAAGUCUGAUGUGAAAGCCCACGGCUCAACCGUGGAGGGUCAUUGGAAACUGUUAAACUUGAGUGCAGGAGAGAAAAGUGGAAUUCCUAGUGUAGCGGUGAAAUGCGUAGAGAUUAGGAGGAACACCAGUGGCGAAGGCGGCUUUUUGGCCUGUAACUGACGCUGAGGCUCGAAAGCGUGGGGAGCAAACAGGAUUAGAUACCCCUGUAGUCCCUGUCUCUUAUAC